CGAGCGAGCUUGCCUAGAUGAUUUUAGUGCUUGCACUAAAUGAAACUAGAUACCUUCGAGCGGCGGACGGGUGAGUAACACGUGGGUAACCUGCCCAAGAGACUGGGAUAACACCUGGAAACAGAUGCUAAUACCGGAUAACAACACUAGACGCAUGUCUAGAGUUUGAAAGAUGGUUCUGCUAUCACUCUUGGAUGGACCUGCGGUGCAUUAGCUAGUUGGUAAGGUAACGGCUUACCAAGGCAAUGAUGCAUAGCCGAGUUGAGAGACUGAUCGGCCACAUUGGGACUGAGACACGGCCCAAACUCCUACGGGAGGCAGCAGUAGGGAAUCUUCCACAAUGGACGAAAGUCUGAUGGAGCAACGCCGCGUGAGUGAAGAAGGGUUUCGGCUCGUAAAGCUCUGUUGGUAGUGAAGAAAGAUAGAGGUAGUAACUGGCCUUUAUUUGACGGUAAUUACUUAGAAAGUCACGGCUAACUACGUGCCAGCAGCCGCGGUAAUACGUAGGUGGCAAGCGUUGUCCGGAUUUAUUGGGCGUAAAGCGAGUGCAGGCGGUUCAAUAAGUCUGAUGUGAAAGCCUUCGGCUCAACCGGAGAAUUGCAUCAGAAACUGUUGAACUUGAGUGCAGAAGAGGAGAGUGGAACUCCAUGUGUAGCGGUGGAAUGCGUAGAUAUAUGGAAGAACACCAGUGGC
rnacentral:rRNA from 1 species